rnacentral:rRNA from 1 species
GACGAACGCUGGCGGCGUGCUUAACACAUGCAAGUCGAACGGAAAGGCCCUGCUUUUGUGGGGUGCUCGAGUGGCGAACGGGUGAGUAAAACGUGAGUAACCUGCCCUUGACUUUGGGAUAACUUCAGGAAACUGGGGCUCAUAUCGGAUAGGAGCUCCUGCUGCAUGGUGGGGGUUGGAAAGUUUCGGCGGUUGGGGAUGGACUCGCGGCUUAUCAGCUUGUUGGUGGGGUAGUGGCUUACCAAGGUUUUGACGGGUAGCCGGCCUGAGAGGGUGACCGGCCACAUUGGGACUGAGAUACGGCCCAGACCCCUACGGGAGGCAGCAGUGGGGAAUAUUGCACAAUAGGCGGAAGCCUGAUGCAGCAACGCCGCGUGCGGGAUGACGGCCUUCGGGUUGUAAACCGCUUUCGCCUGUGACGAAGCGUGAGUGACGGUAAUGGGUAAAGAAGCACCGGCUAACUACGUG